CUGCCAGCAGACUAAGGCAGUGUGGCUAAGAUGUCUGACUAGGAGGGAGUUCUAGGCCUUGCAAUGACCACAGGACCCAGUUAUUUAUCUGUCUUGAGGAGGCUGGACCUGAGCCACCUAGAGAAGAACAGGAGGACAAUGGAACAGGAUGAGCUUGGUCUCCCUUAGAGGAGGUAGGAAGCUGAAUCUAGCGGAGAGCUGAAGCGAGGAGGCAGAGGGGUGGCCUGUGAGGAGGGAAGUGGGUAGAAUCAGGAGGAUGGUGGAGUACAGGGGCUGCCAAAGGGACCUCUACUUCUGUGACUAUUAUGUCAGCAGACUGAUGCAACUAACUGCAGUGUCUGAGACAUUCCAAAUAGCAAUGCAGCCUGUAUUGUUUCAUUCUUGGACUACAAGCAACAAAAAUUAACUCUAGUAACUUGAGAGAAAGGGAAAUACAUUGGAAAGAUAUGAGAGGAAUCUUCGAAUCAAAGAGUAGCUAAAGAUGAAACUCAGAACUUUUAAAGUGUUUUACUAAUAUAUGGCGGUCUGGCUAUAUGGAGACGCAAGAGUCAGCCAUCUUGUCCUCUGAAUUCUGGCCCUGUGACUGCUGACACGGCUUCUUGUGCCUUCAUCUUUGUAUCUGAAAACUCCUGUCACCUGAGGGGACUUGAGCCUGUCUGCUAGACAUGAUCCUCCUUUAUCUUCUCCAAUUUUGCAAUCUUACCCAUUCUGAAGGAGGAUCUUGACCACAGCAUCUUCACCUUCUAGAAUCCUCUACCCAUUUUUGUAUAAUUCUGUCUAUGUCACGAUCUCAUGGAAUAUGGGUGAAGAUGAGGUUUUCUAGAACAUACUGAUGCCAUUUGACACCCUGGAUUCCACAGCCAAGGCUGGCCUAAGCAGGUGAAGACAGCAAAGAUUCGAGAGUUAAUGUGAUUUCCCAUCACCCACUAAGUCACAGGUGAAACCAAGAGACAACUGCAGGUCUGGCUGCUCUGAAGUCCACGUUUUCUCAGGCUUCAGAUUCAGGACAAGGUUGAUCCACUGUUUUGGGAACACAGCUCAAUGUUCCAUAUGAAAUACUUGUUGAGGUCAUUAAAGAUUGGUGGAAAAUAUAAAGAUUCAAUGAUAAAGAAUGCAGCUACAGGAAAACAGCAACAGAGGAAUAAUGUAUUUGAAAUUGAAGUGUUCAUGAUAUAAUUUGUAAAGAUUCAUGCAAGUUCAUAGAAGUUCACACCCCAUAGGACCUGGAAGGAGACUGUGUGAGCAUUAGGGGCACAAGGACCGAAUUUCCUCUUUUCCCUGUUCAUCCCAGGGUAGGCUGAAGCCCUGAGGAGAAUAUACCCAAAGAGAGGCAGAGUGGACAGUGAGAGAGAGAGAGACAGAGAGAAAGGUCUUCCUUAGCCGUUGGUUCACCCUCCAAUGGCCGCCGCGCUGAUGUGAAGUACUAUCUGAUGCAUGAAGGAGAGGAAUUCAAGUGUGCCUGAAUGUUUAUUCUUGUCAACAGCCAAGGAUGAUCUCAGCCAGAUUUCUUAGCUCCAACGGGGGAACAUCACUGAUGACACUGAGGAAGUGACUGGCUAAAGCACUCUGCACCAUUGGCUGAACUAAGCUCACAAGUCUUGGGGAGCUUCAGACAAGAAAAGUGUCACCCAUAAGAGCAAUAUCUACAUUGUAUUAUAUACAAUGUUAGAAUCUUUGCUCUGGCCUUUACUGACACUUAUGUGUAACUUUGAAAAAAGUAUUUAAUCUCUCAAAGUGACAUCCUCUAUAAAUGGGUCUCAAACUAUAUCACCUCAUAGAGGUAUUGAAGAAUUAAAUUAUAUAAACUGGGAAAACAUUCAGCAUGGUAUCCCACACAUUGUACAAUCUAAAUAAUGGCAUCCAAUAUCAUAAUAUGUACAACUACAAUUUCACCUACGACCCAAGUUUGACCAUGAAUUCUCUUUUUGGAGACAGUUCUAAGGAAAGCUAAAGCUUUUUGUUUGUUUCAGAGAGACACAUUUCAACUGGGAAUUACAGCAUAUUUACAAAUCCUGCCUGUAAGCCCAAUCAGAGAGAAGACAUAGAUUCUUUCACAAUGAAGAAAGGAAAACACUGAAAAGCAGUGUAUGAUUUUACAAUACUUACUUCACUCGGACUGAUGGAUAACUUUUUGUCCCAGAAAGGGGGAGGGCUCUUCAUGCAAGAGACAGUAAUGUCAUUAUUCAUGCUGUAAGCCAGCCCACUUCAACUGCUGGUCUUCACAAUGCCUACAAGUGUAAAAAAAAAAAAAAAAAAAGAAUACAAAAAAACCACUUGCUUCCUUUUUUUUUUAUGAGUAUUGACAUUCUUGUGCAGUAUUAGGAGAGCUAAUUUAGCUUCCAGUUCUAAGAAUUUUUGAAUCUAUAGCCAGUAAUUAUUGGCAUUCAGAGGUACAAAAGAGGAAAACAAAGCCUGCAAAUUCUAGCACAUUCAUGUGGGAUUGGGAGCUGAAUUAGGAUCCUCACACCCCAUUGAAUGAUCAGCCCCCCUAUUAGAGCCUUAUUAAAAUGGUAAUGAUUAUAUGCCAGCUAUAGGCAGGCAGCCGCACCUGUCAAAAACUACCCCGAUUAUCCUGUUCAUUGAACUGUCUGGCUCUUGAAUCAGUGUCUCAGGUUUACUCCUCUGUGAAGUUUUUUUUUCCCCCUGUCUUAAAUGUUUCUAAAAAGAUACAAGAACAAACAUUUCCGUGGGGUCAUAGAACACUCUUGCAGUUUAUUUUAUCUCCUCCUCAUUUUCUGUUUUUGUAUCUGAUAUGACGGUACAGUGAGUCAGAAAUCUUCUCUUUGAUUUGGGAUAGGAACAGGAUUAAGAAACAAAAAUAUAAAGUCUCCGAAAAAUAUUGAUGUUAGUAAAAGAAAAUUCAAAUGUAUACUUAAUCUGGAAAUUGUCAGCCACAUGUUGUAAUGAACGGAUAGAUUCUUGUUGGCCACAGAUUGGUUACCAAGCCAAGAGCUAUAUUGUCCUUCAUUUAAAAGACAUUUUGGGUUUUCAUCCAUCUUUUGCUCAUAAAAAUGCACAAAGCAAUAAUGUGUUUCAGCUGAAAUCAUUUUUUCCAAGACGAAUCAUACCAUUGAUUGGGCAAUGUUGUUUUUCUUAUAAAACCAAAUUUUCCUCUAAAACUAUUUCAGCUAUUAGUUUGUUAAAUUCUUAAUAGAAGAGCAUCUUGUGGAAGACAGAACUGGGAGACUGGACAUUGUCAGUAGCACUUGUUACAGAUGCUGUAAGAUAAUGAUGGUAACUGAUCACAGCACUUAGGAAGAACAUCAAUUUUCAGAGAAAACCAAAUUUUUGUUGUCUGUUUUGGUUUGGUUUGUUAAAGAAUAGUAUAUUCUGAUUACCAGAACAC